rnacentral:rRNA from 1 species
GAUGAACGUUAGCGGGAGGCUUAACACAUGCAAGUCGAGGGGCAGCAUAGGGUAGCAAUACUCUGAUGGCGACCGGCAAACGGGUGAGUAACGCGUAUGCAACCUACCCUGUACAGGGGGAUAACCCGGAGAAAUUCGGACUAAUAUCCCGUAAUAAUAUCCGGAGGCAUCUUUGGAUAUUUAAAGUUCCGACGGUACGGGAUGGGCAUGCGUAACAUUAACUGGUUGGUAAGGUAACGGCUUACCAAGGCUAUGAUGUUUAGGGGUCCUGAGAGGGUGGUCCCCCACACUGGUACUGAGACACGGACCAGACUCCUACGGGAGGCAGUAGUGAGGAAUAUUGGUCAAUGGGCGCAAGCCUGAACCAGCCAUCCCGCGUGCAGGAAGACGGCCCUAUGGGUUGUAAACUGCUUUUCCAGGGAGAGAAACUUACGCACGUGUUGCGUGACUGACGGUACCCUGGGAAUAAGCAUCGGCUAACUCCGUG